rnacentral:rRNA from 1 species
AUUGAACGCUGGCGGCAUGCUUUACACAUGCAAGUCGAACGGUAACAGGGUGCUUGCACCGCUGACGAGUGGCGAACGGGUGAGUAAUGCGUCGGAACGUGCCGAGUAGUGGGGGAUAACGCAUCGAAAGGUGUGCUAAUACCGCAUACGUACUGAGGUAGAAAGUGGGGGACCUUCGGGCCUCACGCUAUUCGAGCGGCCGACGUCUGAUUAGCUAGUUGGUGAGGUAACGGCUCACCAAGGCGACGAUCAGUAGCGGGUCUGCGAGGAUGAACCGCCACACUGGGACUGAGACACGGCCCAGACUCCUGCGGGAGGCAGCAGUGGGGAAUUUUGGACAAUGGGCGAAAGCCUGAUCCAGCCAUGCCGCGUGGCUGAAGAAGGCCUUCGGGUUGUAAAGGACUUUUGUCGGGGAGGAAAUCCCCAGCGUUAAUACCGCUGGGGGAUGACAGUACCUGAAGAAUAAGCACCGGCUAACUACGUGCCAGCCGCCGCAGUAACAC